AUGAAGGGAGGCUACAGACGCAAGGAAGUUGCAGACGGAGGGAGCUGUAGACGGAGAGAUUGCAGAACAAAUAUGUGCGGAGUUGAUUGCAGACGGAGGGAUUUGUGGAGUUCAUUGCAGGCGGAGAGAUGUGCGGAGUUGAGAGAUUGCAGAACAGUUAAGCGAUGGUGGAAAAACGGAAUUCCGUCAGAGAGGGAGCAGGGCGGCCGGAGUUGGUUGAGAAGAGAAGUCCCGCGAGGGAGGAGAGCCUUUCCGGAGGGAGCCUCCUUCUAUUGUUAUACCUUUUUUAUGAGAAAAAAAGAGAGAAAGUGA